rnacentral:rRNA from 1 species
GAUGAACGCUGGCGGCGUGCCUAAUACAUGCAAGUCGAGCGAACAGACGAGGAGCUUGCUCCUCUGACGUUAGCGGCGGACGGGUGAGUAACACGUGGAUAACCUACCUAUAAGACUGGGAUAACUUCGGGAAACCGGAGCUAAUACCGGAUAAUAUAUUGAACCGCAUGGUUCAAUAGUGAAAGACGGUUUUGCUGUCACUUAUAGAUGGAUCCGCGCCGCAUUAGCUAGUUGGUAAGGUAACGGCUUACCAAGGCAACGAUGCGUAGCCGACCUGAGGGUGAUCGGCCACACUGGAACUGAGACACGGCCCAGACUCCUACGGGAGGCAGCAGUAGGGAAUCUUCCGCAAUGGGCGAAAGCUUGACGGAGCAACGCCGCGUGAGUGAUGAAGGUCUUCGGAUCGUAAAACUCUGUUAUUAGGGAAGAACAAAUGUGUAAGUAACUAUGCACGUCUUGACGGUACCUAAUCAGAAAGCCACGGCUAACUACGUG